rnacentral:rRNA from 1 species
GAGAGAUUCAAAUUGAAGCCCCAGUGAACGGCGGCCGUAACUAUAACGGUCCUAAGGUAGCGAAAUUCCUUGUCGGGUAAGUUCCGACCUGCACGAAUGGUGAAAUGAUUUGGGAGCUGUCUUGGCUGGAGACCUGGUGAAGUUGUAAUGUCGGUGAAGAUACCGACUACCUGUAGUAGGACGGAAAGACCCCGUGGAGCUUUACUGUAGUUUGGCAUUGGGUUUUGGUAAUGUGUGUAUAGAAUAGUUGGGAGAUGGAGAUCUUAAGAUGCUAGUUUUAAGGGAGUCAACUGUGGAAUACCAACCAUAUAUUAUUGAGACUCUAAUCAAGAAAUUGAGACAGUGCUAGAUGGGCAGUUUGACUGGGGCGGUCGCCUCCUAAAGAGUAACGGAGGCGUUCAAAGGUUCCCUCAGGUUGGAUGGAAAUCAACCAUAGAGUGUAAAGGUAUAAGGG